UUUCAUGAUGAAACAUCACCUUUUUUAUUAUUAUUUUCUGGUACCUCUUAUGUCAGGGUUAGAUCCUCGUGGUCGAGCCCGAUGAUCUAAAUGGACUUCUGAUU
rnacentral:snoRNA from 1 species